rnacentral:rRNA from 1 species
AUAAAACUCCUAAACCCCUGUGAACUUACUGGUGUUUGGCUCGCCAGAUAUAGUCUGGUCCGUAAGCAAAUCGACUGCCUGCCUGUGUAACAGGCAGGUAAGCUUUUGUCGUGGGGUCCCGGAUCAACCCGGGCUAGAUAGCCACUUAACUAUAUACUUUUUAUAAAAUCUGUGAACUUACUAGGUUGGAUUCUCGCCAGAGAUAGUCUGGUUUCUGCUUCGCGGAUCGCCUACCCGUGACACCUGUCACAGGCAGGUAUGCUUCUGCCGCGGGUCCGUAAGUAAAUCAUCUGUUUCGCAAGGGACGGCGAUUUACCUGUGGAAGAGGUCCGCUAACUAUAUUCUUAGUAUAGUUUGUUCACUAGAUCAAACAUUCUGAAUAAAAACUUAAACUAGUUAAAACUUUCAACAACGGAUCUCUUGGUUCUGGCAUCGAUGAAGAACGCAGCGAAAUGCGAUAAGUAAUGUGAAUUGCAGAAUUCAGUGAAUCAUCGAAUCUUUGAACGCACAUUGCGCCCAUUAGUAUUCUAGUGGGCAUGCCUGUUCGAGCGUCAUUUCAACCCUUAAGCCCCUGUUGCUUAGCGUUGGGAGCCUACAGCCUGCUGUAGCUCCUUAAAGGUAGUGGCGGAGUCGGUUCACACUCUAGACGUAGUAAAAUCUUUAUCUCGCCUAUGGAUGAGCCGGCGCCUUGCCGUAAAACCCCUAAUCUUUCACAAGGUUGACCUCGGAUCAGGUAGGAAUACCCGCUGAACUUAAGCAUAUCAAUAAGCGGAGGAAAAGAAACCAACAGGGAUUGCCCUAGUAACGGCGAGUGAAGCGGCAACAGCUCAAAUUUGAAAUCUGGCCUUCGGGUCCGAGUUGUAAUUUGCAGAGGAUGCUUUGGGCGCGGUGCCUUCCGAGUUCCCUGGAACGGGACGCCUUAGAGGGUGAGAGCCCCGUACGGUUGGACACCAAGCCUCUGUAAAGCUCCUUCGACGAGUCGAGUAGUUUGGGAAUGCUGCUCUAAAUGGGAGGUAAAUUUCUUCUAAAGCUAAAUAUUGGCCAGAGACCGAUAGCGCACAAGUAGAGUGAUCGAAAGAUGAAAAGCACUUUGAAAAGAGGGUUAAAUAGCACGUGAAAUUGUUGAAAGGGAAGCGUUUACGACCAGACCUUUUCGCAGCGGAUCAUCCGGUGUUCUCACCGGUGCACUUCGCUGGGUUGAGGCCAGCAUCGGUUUCCGCAGGGGGAUAAAAGCCUGGGGAACGUAGCUCCCUCGGGAGUGUUAUAGCCCCUCGCAUAAUACCCUUGCGGGGACCGAGGACCGCG